rnacentral:rRNA from 1 species
GAUGAACGCUACGCGUACGAGGCUUAACACAUGCAGGUCGAGGGGCAGCAGUUAUCGUUAGACUUGCUAAGAUAGAUGGCGACCGGCGCACGGGUGAGUAACACGUAUCCAACCUUCCGGUUACUCGGGGAUAGGCUUUCGAAAGAAAGACUAAUACCCGAUGUUGCGUAUCUUUCUCCUGAAAGAUACGCCAAAGGAUUCCGGCAACCGAUGGGGAUGCGUUCCAUUAGGCAGUUGGCGGGGUAACGGCCCACCAAACCUUCGAUGGAUAGGGGUUCUGAGAGGAAGGUCCCCCACAUUGGAACUGAGACACGGUCCAA